rnacentral:lncRNA from 1 species
GCCGCCGCCACCGCCUCAGGGAAGAGGAAGGAGGCCGCGGCUUCGCGUCCCGCCUCUCGCCUGGCUGGCCGUGGGGGGCCUGGACGCAGUGGCCUCCCGAAUCUCCCAGGACCCUAAUAUCGCCCGAGGAUGCUGGGAGGAACGCUGAGCCGACCUCUCCGUUAGGCUGAAGAUUGCACAAACCAUGCUAAUGGCCAGCAUGGAUGGAGGGAGCGUGUGAGAUGUGUGGGGCAGCGUGCUGCAUCUCAGCCAACUCCAGGAGCCAGUUGAUGUGAUGGACUACCUUAAUUGAUUUUUGAAUGUUGAGCCAGCCUUAUGCAUGUGGGAUAAACCCCUGUUGAUCAUGGAAGCAUGCUCAUGGCAAUACCCGGAGUCUCCACUGCAAGACCAGAGUGACGGAGGCAGCAGAGCUCCUCAGCAGGCCAGGAGUCUCCAGAGGCACUGCCGAAUGUCUAAGAAGCAACCUCAUUGUAUUCCCAAGACCUGGGAAUCCAGGUCUCGCAGAUACGAUGAUACAAUCUAUAGCCAGGACAUCUCUUCAUGUGUAGGAUAAGCAACUAUCCCAGUCUUCCCAGGAUUGAGGGGCUUCUCCAGAUGCUGCACUUCUGGUGCUAAAAAUGAGAAACUGAAAUGAAUUAGUCACCCAAGGAAUGCUGACCCUGUGCUAUAUGAUCACAUUUACUCUUUAAAGCAAUGCUUUGAGGCCAAGCUAUAAAUAAAGGGUGGACUGACCUUGUCAACUGUUAAAUUGGAGCCGUGGUGCGUUGCCUAGAACAUUGCGGAUGACCCCGAGCAGCACAGCAGAUCAACGGCUGAGAAAGAGCUCAUUCAGCUCAUCUAACUAGGAUGCUGUCCUGCCAGAGCCCUGGGGGUUCUCGUCUCCUGGGGCAAAAGCAGCAUGCAACCCUUAUGAACCCAUCUUGGAAGGCAUUCGGGGAGCCCAAGACAAGACCAUUGGGAGCCUCAGGGUCACUUGUGGGGGUCUCUGUGCUGGACGGCUGUACCUCUCAUGAAAUGGACAACUGACCAUAAGAAGGAGGUAAGUUACGCAUGGACGGGAAAAUAAGAAGCUCCUACUUAGGGCUGUGAUAUGUGCGGUAACCAUUUAACGUUAAUAGCAUCCAUGUGAGACAGGUGCUAGUACUGCCCCAUUUCAUAUUGGCGGACAUUGAGGCACACAGACUGUAUGACUUGCCCAAGGCUGCCCACCUGGUUAGGGGAGCUCCAGGAUUCCAAUCCAGUCCGAACUCAACACGAGGGGUGGCACCUACAGGCUGGGGUCAAUCUGGAAGACUGCCUGUUGUAUGGCCUGGCAACUAAAAAUUGUUUUUUACAUUUUUAAAUGGUUGACAAAAUUAAAAUAAGAGAAUAUUUCAUGACAUCAUCAAAUUACACGAAAUGCAAAUUUCAGCAUCUACAAAUACAGUUUGAUUGGGACACAGCCACCCUCAUCCGUUUGCAGGCUAUCCCUGGCUGCUUACAGGGUCCACAUAGUCCAUAAAGCCUGAGAUAUUUACUAUCUGGCCUUUUACAGAAAAAGUCCCCAAACACUAAUCUGAAAUGUUUGCAUCAGAACCCCUUGUGGGGCUUGUUAGAAUGCAGCUCCCUGGUCCCACACCCAGUCUCUGAUUCAGUAAGUCUGGAGCAGGGCCUGGGAAUUUACAUUUCAAAAUAAUUUCCCAGGUGAUGCUCAUACUGGUCCACAGACCACUUUGAGAGCCACUACCCUAAACCCCAGUGCUCUACUGCUUGUUGUCAGGAUGGCUGGGUCAGGUGAGAAAGAAGCCUAGACAUCCCUAGAGCCACCUGCUGUGCAGCCACCUUUUGAGAAAGUGUCCCCAGUGAUCUUUUCCCAGGUUAGCCUUUGUGGCUUGGGCAUCCAGCCUUUCAGAGAUAUGAAACCACACACGUCUUCAGAGUGAACAGCUGCUCACCCCGAUGUGCUCAAGGGGUGCAGGAUGUGGACACAUCCUACUGAAUGAGCCAGACAACGUAACUGGAUCUGUCCAGAACACCACGAUGGGUGACAUUGCCAUCUGCAGCAGUGCUGUACUUCCUCCCGCCAAUUUGUAAAGUGCAGACAGGAUGCUGGAUCAACUGGCUGCUGCUGAGGCCAGUGACCUCUAGGGCGUAUUCCCACGUUCCUUUGCAGUAGCUGCUCACCUUUGUAAGCAUGUGAGUUAUUCGUGCUGUCUGUUGUGAUCCUAAGGAAUCCAAUGGUCAGGACCAGAACUUCUGAAGUACAGCCCAGCAUUGCCGUCUGGCAUCCCCAGAAAGCAGAUUUUGAGAUUGGCAUGAUGGCCGUUAAGCAGGGCGUUCUCUCUGGAGCAAUGUCUAGCCGGGGUCGGAGUGGGGAGAGAGAGAGGGGGGCUGCUGAGAAUAUCACAGAGAGAUGGCAGCCUUUCUGCAGCAUAGGCCUAAGUGCACACUCACCUGGCUAUCACUGAGAGGACUCUCUGUUCAACAGGGCCACUCAGGGCUUCCCCUGCAUGGAGAUCUGAGUGUCCAGGGAGGGGACGUGGUGAGCAUUUCUCUGGUCAAAGUGUGCAAAGCAAAAUCUGCCCCAUUCCUGCCAAAGUGGUUGACAUGGAGGAAAGGGGAGUGCCAGUUCUGUAGGCUGAGGUGGUGGCUGUUAGAACUGCUCCUAGGCUAGUUGGUGUUCUGGAAGGUUCCCCUCUAUGUGAGAUGAAAGAGCAUAUCUUUAAGAGCUGCAACUUUGAAGCUCUAAUAUAGAAUGCUUUUGGUGGCAAGCAUUACUUCGGAAAGGGCUUGAAGACCCCUGAAGAUCCUUGGUGGCCUAGGCAGUUCCUUUAUUGCCAGGGCUGUGCAGGACUAAGCUUCAACAGCGCCACCAUGUGACAAGAAGCAAUUGCAGUGGUGCAUUGAGGGUUUUCUUUUGCACUGAGAACUCAAGUCCCACUUUCACCCUUGGACCUGGUAAAUCUUUGGGGUUCAUGGACAAUUCUGAGGAGGAGAUACUUAAGAGAGUGAUGUUAGAAUUUGAUGUUUUGGUUUAUUGUAUCAGAAAAUAAAAGAAAUUGGAUUUAUAGCUCAGUUUGUGGUUCAUAUCAAUUUAAAUAGCUUUGAAAUGCUGAUAGGACCAUCACGGUUUUUUGGUUGCUGAAAUCCCAUAACUAAAGCAAUGCCUCAAUAAGCUUUUAAUCCACAGCCCCCAUGCCCAGGUCUAUAACAAAGUUUUUAUAUGCCUAUGGGGAAAAACAAUUAUGAGGCAAACAUUUAUAAAGUUAAAUUUAUUACGUUUCUACUCCUAUUUUUUAUUCUGCUGGUGUAUUGUUAUAUAUUUUCCUACAUAUUUAAACAUUUUCUUCCUCUUAUAAAAUGUUAGUGAUUUUAAAUGAUGGUGUGUCCGGAAUUGGUUCCUUCUGGUGGGUUCAGUCUUGCUGACUUCAAGAAUGAAGCCACAGAUGCUCACAGUGAGUGUUACAGCUCUUAAAGAUGGUGUGUCCAAAGUUUGUUCCCUCAGAUGUUCAGAUGUCUCCAGAGUUUCUUCCUUCUGGUGGGUUCGUGGUCUUGCUGACUUCAGGAGUGAAGCCGCAGACCUUUGCAGUGAGUGUUACAGCUCUUAAAGGUGGUGCGUCCAGAGUUGUUUCUUCCUCCCAGUGGGAUUAUGGUCUCGUGCAGACCUUGCAUUGAGUGUUACAGCUCUUAAAGGGGGCACGGACCUGACCAUCCUGGCUAAAAUACAGUGAAACCCCAUCUCCACUAAAAUUACAAAUAUUAGCCCGGAGUGGUGGCAGGUGCCCAUAGUCCCAGCUACUCCGGAGGCUGAGACAGGAGAAUAGUGUGAACCCGGGACGCGGAGCUUGUAGUGAACAGAGAUUGCGUCACUGCACUCCAGCCUGGGCGACAGAGCGAGACUCCAUCUCAAAAAACAAGAACAAAAAAACAAAAAAAAGGCAGCGCAGACCCAGAGUAAGCAACAGCAAGAUUUAUUGCCAAGAGCCAAACAACAAACCUCCCACAGCGUGGAAGCAGACCCAAGUGGGUUGACACUGCUGGCUCAGGUGGUCUGCUUUUAGUCCCUUAUUUGGCCUCACCAACAUCCUGCUGAUUGGUCCAUUUUACAGAGAGCUGAUUGGUCCAUUUUACAGAGUGCUGAUUGGUCCAUUUUGACAGAGUGCUGAUUGGUGCAUUUAUAAACCCUUAGCUAGACACAUAGCGCUGAUUGGUGCAUUUACAAUCCUUUAGCUAGACAGAAAAGUUCUCCAAGUACCCUACCCGAUUAGCUAGACACAGAGCCCUGAUUGGUGCGUUUACAAACCUUUAGUUAGACACAGAGUGCUGAUUGGUGCGUUUACGAUCCUUUAGCUAGACAGAAAAGUUUUCCAAGUCCCCACCAGACCCAGAAGCCCAGCCAGCUUCACCUCUCAAUGGGAUUUUAAAAAAUGUUUUUACUUGGCAAAUAAAGACUUAGCAACCUAAUACCUACCUCUCAAAAUAUUUGUAAAUCAUACUGAUCUAUAAAAUCUAUUAAGUAUGAGAUUUGUUGAUAUAAUGACUCAUAAAAGCAAUGUAAUCCAAAUUAAAAUUUGUAAAGCACUGCAUAAUUUACAUAGUAUUUCUGUCUCGAGUAUCUUUAAACCAUUAAGUUAAGAGUGUGACUUUGGACGGGUGUGGUGGCUCACGCCGGUAAUCCCAACACUUUGGGAGGCCAAGGCAGGCAGAUCACCUGAGGUCGAGAGUUCGAGAUCAGCCUGGCCAAAAUAUCGAAACCCCAUCUCUACUAAAAAUACAAAAAUUAGCUGGACGUGGUGGCAUGCCCUGUAGUCCCAGCUGCUCAGGAGGCUGAGACAGGAGAAUCGCUUGAACCCAGAGGCGGAGGUUGCAGUGAGCCAAGAUCGUGCCACUGCACUCCAGCCUUGGCGACAGAGUGAGACUCCAUCUCCAACAAAAAAAUGAAAGAAAGAAAAUCUCCUGUAGUCACUUCUAGUCACCACAACAGUUUGAUUUUAAUAAUUAGAAGACCUACUUCUAUGCAGAAAUAUGAACUCCAAACCUCUGGAUAUGGGGACAGAAAUUGCCGUGGCACUCUAAAAACUUUGUCCAAAGAAAUGCUGUCUUCCAUUUUCUUUGCCGUUAACCAUUUUAUAUCCUUGAGAUGGUGUUGAGUUGAUCUGCAAAGCCGGCCUUGGCCACCUGCCCUGAUAGUCUUGCCCAAAUGCUCCAGCACCUUGCCCUGGAACGUGGCCAAAUUGGCCACCUGCUGUUUUGUUCGUCCCUCUGAUUUCUGUCUCGGUUGCUCUCUUUUGGAGUUCUGCAGUUGUGUGCGUGCUUUUUCUUGUUCUGGGUCAGUUUUUUUCUCAUCUGUCAAACCAGGACACAUAAUUUUACAAGGUCACACAGUGAGGAAAGCCUUGCUGAAUCUUACUGCUACGAUUCACGGCAUUGCAGAGGCCUUGCUUUUAGAGCUGCAACAGAUCUCAGAAGUUUUAGGCUAAUUCCUUCGUUUUACAGACGACUAAAAUGAAAUCCAGGGAGUUUAAGUGGCAUGACGAGAGCUAGAGGAUCCCUUCUCAAGUAACUAUGGAACAAAGCCUUCGAAACGCAUACGUUGGUACAGAGUUAGGCUGAGAGGGGCCUGAGCUUACACAAUGUGGGUGUCCUCUUUCAGAAAGAAGAAAUACAAAAUUAAGUACACAAUUGUUAUCAUUUAGAAAGAUAAAAGAAAUUACCGUGAAUUACACACUUUCAAAACCUGUGAAAUACCACAAACAGCAUAAAAUCCAAGAAAAUAAUAUCUUUAUUACUUAAUUGUCCAACCAAUCUCUGUAAUUCCUGUUUUCUUAUAUUUUCUGCUGUAUAAUGUUUGAUGGCCUUUUUUCUGACUACAGUUUUGUAAUGUCAUUUCUAUAGAGAUAAUAGUGAGAAAAUUCAGUCUUUAGCACAAUCAAUCACAAUUUGGUUCUUAUUGAUAAGUUGAAAAUCUUUCUUUCAGUUUUACAACUCAUUAUUGGUAAGUCAUGUAAGUGUUAGUGUUAUUAUCAAGUUGUGGAUAACUUCUGUCAACUUUUUCUCAUAUGUAAGCUGUAAGAUUUGGAAAACCUUUUGACAGACUGGCUUCUGACUCUUUUUCAAACUUUCAUUCCCUUCCCUCCCGACGUACUUCCUGUGCUGUGGAGGAUGUUUGGCCUGGGAGAUGACCUGUGAUUCUGCACUUUGGGUCACACGCUGGGUGCAUCAGUAGAAUGGGCUUUCUGAGCAUUCCCGGAAGCUAUGCCCACACCAGGAUGGCAGCAAUGAUUUUACUGUACCUGGAAGUAAUGAUGAGCUGUGUAAAUGUAACCCAAACUAAGUGUAUCCCAAUCCUCCACUUGCUUUGACUUGGAGCACUGAAGGGCUGUGUCCUAGGUGCACAUACACACACACUCAUGCACAUAUACACAUAGAGCCUUUUGCAGUUCCAAGCAUGUCCUUUAGCCCCAUGAGGCAGUCAGUGGCUUCACCCCACCUCUUUGCUUCUCCCUCGGGAACAUGCAAAUUCCUCCAAUGAAAAAGGGACCUCCAGUGCUGAGCUCAAUUCUCCCUUCUGGAAGUUGGCUCGGUAAUUCUUUACAAUCUUGUUAGCACCUGAGCUUCAAAUUAUUUCUAUGAGAAAUUUUGGGUUACAGAAUCUAGCAUACAAUGAAAAAGUAACCACACUUCUAGGAGAUGCGACACUGUGUACAAACACCAGCUGAAACAGCUAACAAUGGCAACAGAGCCACAAAGACUCCAGAGAGUGGAGGUACAAAUUUAAUAGAAAUAGAAGAAGAAAAUAGAAAGUUUAAUAGAUAUACAGACUUUUAUAUAAUUUUUUUACUAUGUUCAAGGAGAUGAAAGACAAUAGAAUUUUAGCAGACAUGAGAGGUUGUAGUGUAUGCUACAAAAACCAAAGGCAAAUUGGAAAACCAAAAAAUUCAGUAAUCAAAGUUAAGAACUCAUUGGCUGUCUUUGACAGAUGAGUCAUUAAGGAUAAUCAGAAAGCAGGUUAGGAGAAAACAGAAUAAAACAUAAUAAGGACAAAUAAUGGAAAACUACAGAAGACUGGGUCAGAGACAGAGGAUAGAGUAAUAAGGCUUAACAUCAGCAAGAGGAGAGAAUAUGCAAGAGAAAUUUUAGAAGUGUAAGGACAUAGGAAAAAACAAACUCAGUUUCUCCUGCUAUACUCUCACAACACUCACACUUCUAUAACCCCAGAUGUGUGGAGUUUUUCCCCACAUACCAAGCAGUUCUGCAGAUGAUUCUCCAGUGGACACCAGCUGGGUGUCUUCUAAUUCGAUUCAGCUCUGACACUGUCUAGCUGGAGAUUGUGUCAGAUCUCACAGGUUGAAGGCUCAUUCCCACAAGUCUAUCCCUCAGUUCGGAUGCCAAUUGCAGUGCAGGUGGUGACCUGUGCUUCUGACCAACCAGCUACAAACCAGGGUUCCACUAACCCCCUCCUUGGGUUUAUUUAAUUUGCUAAAGUGGCUCACAGAGCUCAGGGAAAUUCUUACAUUUACACAUUUAUUAUGAGGAUAAAUUACAAAGGAUACAGAUGAACAUCCAGAUGGAAGAGAUACAUAAGGCAAGGAAUGGGAAAAGGGGCACAGGGCUUCCAUGCUCUCUCUGGAUAUACCACCCUGCAGGAGCUUGUACGUGUUCUGCUAUCUGGAAGACCCAGGGCUCAGUCCUUUUGGAUUUUUAUGGAAAUUUCAUUAAGUAGGCAUGAUUGAUUAUAUCAUUGGCUGUUGGUGAUCCACUCAAUAUUCAGCCCUUUUAUCCUCCCUGGAAGUGAGAGAGGUGGUUGAGGUGUGGGGGAGUAGGAGGUGGGCUGAAAGUUUCAACCUUCCCUCUUGGGAGGGUUGAAAACAGCAAACAGCCUCCCACCUGAGACUAUCGAGGGGCUCCAGUCAUCUCAUUAGCAUACAAGAGCCACUCAUCACUCCAGAGAUCCCGAGGAUUUUGGGAGCUAUGAAUCAAGAAACCAGAAGACCAUAUACAUUUCACAACAUCACAGGAAGAGGCAUGAUUAAGAACUUACCAAACUAAUUACAAAUGUAAAAAAUCUGCAACAUAACUUAAAUGUCACAAAAUCUAAAAAAAAAAAUUAUUAUCAAUUAACUUUCUGAUGCAUCUCUAAAACACUUUUUCUUACCUAUUUUGGUUGUACCCUCUUUGAUCAUCUCCUCAAAAUGCAACAGUUUUGCAGUACCAUUUUCUAUAGAGAGAAGAGAAAGAUAAUUCAGACCUUUCUCUAGUGUGUUUGAUUAAAAUUUAUUAUUGAAGAUUUAGAGAAUUUUUUUACUUUCCCUUUUCAAUUUAAUAUUGGUCACAUUAUGUAAAGUUCAAUAUUGUCUAGAUUUCAGGAAACAUUCAUUAUAUAUGAACUGUAAGAUUUGAGAAAUAAAAAUAAAAUUCUAAGCCCCCACCCAGCUGAACGGAUCCCCUCUUGGCCAAGGGGACCCUGAAGAAACCUUAAAAACUGAGUUCCUGGCCAUGACAGGAGGGAAGGGCAGCCGGCCUUGUUACACCGCCUCCCUUGCUGACUGCCACUGGCUUUCUCUUUAAGGGUUACACAGAAACCAGCCCUUUGGAAAGACUGGCUCUACCUAUGAUACCAACGAGCCCUCAUGCUGCCCCUCCCUUACAGUUUUGACACAGGACUGACCAGCAUUCCUUCCAGAUGAGAGACCGCUGGCCACAGAGUGGCUUUGGCCAGUCUACGGACACUGCACACAGAGGGCCUCCAUGUCCUCUGCUUUACCUUUUGAUGUUUA